AACAGAAAACAAAAGAGAACCGCCUAAAGAAGAAGAAGCAAAAGGAAGAACAGAAUUCAGACCCCAAAAGGCCAAAGAAGCCAGCUUCUUCAUUCUUUCUUUUCAGGAAAGAAAUGAGGAAGGAACUUCUGCUGGAAAGACCAGGCACCAGCUACUCCACUCUUAAUACUCUGAUUUCAGUAAAAUGGAA